rnacentral:lncRNA from 1 species
GUUUUGCUCUGUCACCCAGGCUGGAGCGCACUGGCACGAUCUUGGCUUACUGCAAACUCUGCCUCCCGGGUUCAGGUGAUUUUCAUGCCUCAGCCUCCUGUGCAGCUGGGAUUACAGGUGAUUUCUGGAAAAUCCUGCUGGCUCAGCUCCUCUGUGAUCUUGCUGACUUUCCACAGCAUGGCCUGAGGCCCAUAGCACGCUCAGAGCCCGCAGUCCUCCCUGAGCCUGGCCAGCUAGCGGCAGGGCCUUGUGGCCUGAUGCAAAUGCUACCACUACCCAAAGGCCAUUUAUGAGACUCUCCAAGCAGCUGCCUCUAAAGGCCAUCCUACCAGCAUUUAAAUGACCCUCAUACAAGUUUUCUUCAUCUCGGGGCUCUCCUACCAGCUCCUGCUGCCUUUUUUUUUUUUUUUCUGGCAAACAUAUUCUUCUGUGACUUUCUCUUGAUUGACAUGGGGUGAUGGGAUGUUUCUAUGCUCCUAUUUGGGUAUUUUUAGAAGCUGACUGACUGACCUGCUCCUCCUUCCUAGAAUGGUUUAGUUUUUUGUGUCACUUGGUAGAGACACUGCAGGGCACUGUGUGGCAUCUGCCUGGUCUGUUUGUCAAACACCGGCUCAGGGUCGCAGCUGUCAAGUCUGGAGGGCCCAGAGCACAGGCAGCCUUUUCCUGCAGCCCAGAUGAGUUGACAUGGGACCUGGGCUCUCGCCGGGCUCAGCCCACACCUCUCAGAACAGAAGGCAGUUGGAGGAGUGGAAUAGCGGACUGAAAUGUUAAAUCAGGGAGCCCAGAGGUUCUCUACCAAAAAAUUCACGCACCCUGAUUCCCACUUCCACUUAGAAACAAUUCUGCUUAGUCCCGUCUUUCAAGCCCACUGAGCACCACCUAUGAAUUAUCAGGGGCACCAGGCAGAUGAGCGACUCUUUCUGUCCACUUCAACAUGCUCUCUGACCCAGCCCUGGCUGGAGUGAAAUUUUUAAAUGAUUUUUUCAUUUGCAUAUUUCCAUAUGGACUAUGAGAUUCCUGAAAAUGCCUAUGCUUAAAAUAAUGAAAAUAAAUAAUUAAAAAUAAUUAAAAUGCUUCAACCUUC